GAUGAACGCUGGCGGCGUGCUUAACACAUGCAAGUCGAACGAUGAAGCCCAGCUUGCUGGGUGGAUUAGUGGCGAACGGGUGAGUAACACGUGAGUAACCUGCCCUUGACUCUGGGAUAAGCCUGGGAAACUGGGUCUAAUACUGGAUAUGACUUCUCAUCGCAUGGUGGGGGGUGGAAAGAUUUAUUGGUCUUGGAUGGACUCGCGGCCUAUCAGCUUGUUGGUGAGGUAAUGGCUCACCAAGGCGACGACGGGUAGCCGGCCUGAGAGGGUGACCGGCCACACUGGGACUGAGACAAGGCCCAGACUCCUACGGGAGGCAGCAGUGGGGAAUAUUGCACAAUGGGCGCAAGCCUGAUGCAGCGACGCCGCGUGAGGGAUGACGGCCUUCGGGUUGUAAACCUCUUUCAGUAGGGAAGAAGCGAGAGUGACGGUACCUGCAGAAGAAGCGCCGGCUAACUACGUG
rnacentral:rRNA from 1 species